rnacentral:rRNA from 1 species
UACAGAGGUCUCAAGCGUUGUUCGGAUUCAUUGGGCGUAAAGGGUGUGUAGGUGGCGCCGUAAGUCGGGUGUGAAAUUUCGGAGCUUGACUCCGAAACUGCAUUCGAUACUGCGGUGCUUGAGGACUGGAGAGGAGACUGGAAUUCAUGGUGUAGCAGUGAAAUGCGUAGAGAUCAUGAGGAAGACCAGUGGCGAAGGCGGGUCUCUGGACAGUUCCUGACACUGAGACACGAAGGCCAGGGGAGCAAACGGG